rnacentral:rRNA from 1 species
AGGACGAACGCUGGCGGCGUGCUUAACACAUGCAAGUCGAACGAGGUCCAUCCGGUAGCAAUACCGGAGAAGACUUAGUGGCGAACGGGUGAGUAACACGUGAGGAACCUGCCCCGAAGACCGGGAUAACAGCGGGAAACCGCUGCUAAUACCGGAUACCCCCAUCGGAUCACAUGGCCUGAUGAGGAAAUGGAUUCCGCUUCGGGAGGGCCUCGCGGCCUAUCAGCUUGUUGGUGAGGUGACGGCUCACCAAGGCGACGACGGGUAGCUGGUCUGAGAGGACGAUCAGCCACACUGGGACUGAGACACGGCCCAGACUCCUACGGGAGGCAGCAGUGGGGAAUCUUGCGCAAUGGGCGAAAGCCUGACGCAGCAACGCCGCGUGAGGGAUGAAGGCCUUCGGGUUGUAAACCUCUUUCAAGCAGGGACGAUAAUGACGGUACCUGCAGAAGAAGCUCCGGCCAACUACGCGCCAGCAGCCGCGGUAA